GAUAAAAUCUAGUCAGAAAAUGCAUUAGUAAGUUUGGGAGAUUUACAAUUUAAGUGACAUCCAGUGACCGAGGAGACAGAUUGUGGUGAGAUUAAGAAAAUAAAAUUCAUAAAUAUUCACAUGACCUAAAUAGGGGAGGAACAGAAAAAGAGAACGAGAGAUGACCCCCAGUAAGGACACACAGGACAAUAAGAAGGAGUAGGCAGCUGCGGGUGUGGCCAGGAAGAAGAGUUCCCAGAGCCCAUGCAGCUGGAGAUGUCCGCUAGGCAUGCAUGUGGUUAUUACCAGAGACAGUGGUGUGUGUGGGCAUCGAGCCCAGGAGAAAGGGCUGGACUGCAAGAGCCUGCUGAAACCAUCACAUGCACUUGGCAACCAGUGCAUUGAGAAGGGUUGUGAUGGCCUUAGAGAAGAACAGAAAAGUGCAAGUGAAUGCCGGUGAAGAGCCAAGGAAACAUGAGACCUAAUGAGAGACCAAAGAGAUACUUAUGCCUGAAAAGAGGAAAGGAGCCAUUGAGAAGAUCACAGAGCCACAGAAACUUAGGAAAGAGGGAACACUGAGGAGGGGUGGGGAAAACUGUCCAGUGCAGCUGAGAAACCAGAAAAAGGACAAUUAAGGUUGAAGUGCCACAUUCAUGAAAUCAAUGAUUUGGACAACUUUGGCCAAGUGUGGACAACUAUCACUAUUUUGUCAUGCUUUGCGUUUAGCAGAUGAAGAGGUUGUGACACUAAACCAUAACUUACCUGUGAUGAGCCAGGGCCUCAGCAUGCCUCCACUGAGACAGGAGACCUUGAGGAACACCAAAAAUGGUCAUAAUUUCUUGGUAGCUAUGAUAGAGCCAUAGCCAGAUGGUCUCUAAGCCCAUGGUAAACAUGCCCAAGGUGAGUCUCAGCUCUGCCUUGUGAUGUGGGGGUUGUCAACUGUUCACUGUAAGUCUAAUUUCAUCACAUGCAGAAGGCAAGACUGUGCAAAGCCAUUCUAGGAACCCUGCAGUAACUCAAAGGUGUAUCUGAUCUUAGCUUUUGGUGAAGUGAUCGAUAUCUUUGUCUCAGAGACCGCCAUAUUCAGAUCACAUUUCAGCUCUACACCUCACGGGCUUCAUGACAUGAGUAAAUGCCUUAAUCUCAUUGCAAUUCAAUUUAUUUAUCUAUGACAUGGAGAUAGCAAAAGCACUCAGGGACUGAUGAGCAGCUUAUAAAAAUUCACUCACACAAAAGCCUGAGAAGCACUUGACAAAGAAAUUCAUUGAAAAUGUUACCAAGUAUUUUAAUCUUCAAGCUGUAAGAUUUACACACGCGCGUGAGCACACACACACACACACACCACACACACACAGAGAGAGAAGAGAGAGAGAGAGAGAGAGAGAGAGAGAGAGAGAGAGAGAAUGAAGGAUAACAAACAUUGAAAUUAGAAAGCAGAGAAAUUCAGGAUCAGAGUGAAAAAUGCUGAAGAAAGCAGCAUAUUCUGUUACAGAAAAUGCACACUACCUCAAAUGUUCAUAUCUAGAUCAACCGAGUGUCCCAUGGAGAACUUCUCAAGCUCUUGUGCUUUGAGAAAACUGCCCAUGAGUGCUGCAGAAUUUUCUAAGUUUGCAGUCUGAAUUCAUCAGAGACCACAGAUCAAAAGUCUUUGAAUGGAUGAAUUACAGGGAGACAAAACUCAGCUCUCUUUGGGUACCAAUAUGAUAACUGCUUUUAAAAUCAGAAUUGUAUAGCCAAGCUAAUCCAGAAUCUACUUUUUGCCACACUAGGUUAAAGGUGUAUUAUUCAUCACAUAUUUUAAGGUUUCCUGGUAAUAACUAUUUUAUCUAUACUGCUAACAUUAAUUUGUAAUAGGGGCACUCAAGUUAAAUCAUUGGUACUUCAAGCAGAAUGAUUCUGUUCUGUACCAAAUGCUAUAUAAACAAGAGGCAGCAACAAAAUAAGACAAAUAAGAAAAACAUUUUUAUUGUUCUUGAUACUUUCUAAUAUGCUUAAUAUUUCUCUUAGGACUUUAAAGUGGGACAGUACAGACUUUCAACAAGUAUGUUGUUCUAAUGUAACGUUAUUUACCAUUUCUGAUAUUACUUGAACUUGUAGCCUGUAUUUAAUGUUUCAGUUAAUCUAGUACUUGAAUGUCUUACGACAGGUUCUCAUAUUUUCUUUUGAGACAAAAAGGACAGUGUAGGCUGGUAUGACAGCUGACUGUUGCCAAAUAAAGAGAAACUCAGAUGAUUGUGGCUGAAAAGA
rnacentral:lncRNA from 1 species